UUUAUUUUUAAAAAAUACUUUUUUUAAAAUUUGGGUAAACGUCAAAUACCACUCCUGUAAUUUUACACUUUCUUAAUUUAGUAUUUUAUAAUUUAAAGUGUAUCAAAUUAGUAUCUUGUCGUUUUAUUUUUAUCUUUUCGUCAGUUUUUUAGUUAAUAUUUUGUUAAAUUAUAUAUAAAAAACUUCAGGUACCCUAUCUAGGUUUAUCGAAAAAAAAUAAUAAAAAUAAUGAAAGUGAAAAAGUGUUAAAUUGAUAAUUUUAGUUUUAACACUUCGGAUACCCUUUAGUUUUAACUUUGUCAUUAAUUUAACGAAAAAAAAAAUGAUAAUUAAAAAGUAAAAAUAAAAUCAUAUAAUACUAAAUUGAUACAUUUUAAAUCACAGAAUAUUAAAGUGAGAAAGUGUUCUCACUUUUUCACUUUAACACACCGGGUAUUAGAAGUUAUUUCAAAAAU
rnacentral:lncRNA from 1 species